GUGGGGAAUUUUGGACAAUGGGCGCAAGCCUGAUCCAGCAAUGCCGCGUGCAGGAAGAAGGCCUUCGGGUUGUAAACUGCUUUUGUACGGAACGAAACGGUCCUGGUUAAUAUCCGGGGCUAAUGACGGUACCGUAAGAAUAAGCACCGGCUAACUACGUGCCAGCAGCCGCGGUAAUACGUAGGGUGCAAGCGUUAAUCGGAAUUACUGGGCGUAAAGCGUGCGCAGGCGGUGCUGUAAGACAGGCGUGAAAUCCCCGGGCUUAACCUGGGAAUUGCGCUUGUGACUGCAGGGCUGUAGUGCGGCAGAGGGGGAUGGAAUUCCGCGUGUAGCAGUGAAAUGCGGAGAUAUGCGGAGGAACACCGAUGGCGAAGGCAAUCCCCUGGGCCUGCACUGACGCUCAUGCACGAAAGCGUGGGGAGCAAACAGGAUUAGAAACCCUAGUAGUCC
rnacentral:rRNA from 1 species